GGCGAGAUGGCCGAGCGGUCUAAGGCGCUAGAAUCAGGAUCGCUCCGCAUUCGGAUCGCCAAUCUAGUCCGAAAGGGCGUGGGUUCGAAUCCCACUCUCGUCA